rnacentral:rRNA from 1 species
GAUGAACGCUGGCGGCGUGCUUAACACAUGCAAGUCGAACGAAGCACUUUAUUUGAUUUCCUUCGGGACUGAUUAUUUUGUGACUGAGUGGCGGACGGGUGAGUAACGCGUGGGUAACCUGCCUUGUACAGGGGGAUAACAGUUGGAAACGGCUGCUAAUACCGCAUAAGCGCACGGCAUCGCAUGAUGCAGUGUGAAAAACUCCGGUGGUAUAAGAUGGACCCGCGUUGGAUUAGCUAGUUGGUGAGGUAACGGCCCACCAAGGCGACGAUCCAUAGCCAGACGGGGGGGGGGGCCGGGCAACAGGGGACCGGAACACGGCCCAAACCCCCACGGGGGGGAGGGGGGGGGAAUUAUUGAAAAGGGGGCAAAGGCUGGAGACGGCGACCCGGGGGGAAAAAAAAAGUUUUUGGGAAUGAAAACCUCUACAAGAAGGAAAAAAAAGGAGGUACCCUGACAAAAAGAAACGGAAAAAACAGGCC